rnacentral:rRNA from 1 species
AUGACGAUAUCCAAUGCAAUGAUCAUGUAUAUAGGCAUCACAUCCGAGACAAAUACGUUGGAGACAUAUCAACAACAUUUGCGAAGACCAUUAGUGACCCCAAAAUCAAGAAGCACAAAAAACUUGCCGAAGCACAAGAGGCAUGCCCAAAAGAUAUUGAGAGGGCAUUCGAUGUGUUGUAAGCUCGGUUUGCCAUUGUUCGAGGUCCUACUCGCUUCUGAGAUACAAAAAAUCCCUUAG